rnacentral:rRNA from 1 species
GACGUAGGGCGCGAGCGUUGUCCGGAUUUAUUGGGCGUAAAGAGCUCGUAGGCGGCUUGUUGCGUCGACUGCGAAAACCUGCGGCUCAACCGUGUGGUCUGCAGUCGAUACGGGCAGGCUAGAGUUCGGUAGGGGAGACUGGAAUUCCUGGUGUAGCGGUGAAAUGCGCAGAUAUCAGGAGGAACACCGGUGGCGAAGGCGGGUCUCUGGGCCGAAACUGACGCUGAGACGCGAAAGCGUGGGGAGCAAACAGG